UCUUCUUGUUUACGGUGGUUAGCAAGCUAAGUUUUGUGAACUACCGCCACCAUCAGGGAAGAAGUGUUAAUCAGGACGAACAAACUCCAAUGAUCACUUUUGUGUUUCCCGUCUGUACACCAUUUGCAGAGGUCAAUUGAAGUUGGAGUGACGUCCCAUCCAUGCUGUCCUCCUGCUGCCCCUUGGCCAGGCUGAUGGCUUGGCUCAGAGCCGUGAGGAUGGAGGUCAGACCGAUCAGGUAGCCGUCCUCCCUGGUUCCCUCAACCCAAGGGAUGCUGUGCUGGACCUCCUUUGAGUCAGGAAGAGGCAUCGUCUUCCCAAAGUCUAUCAUCCAAACACUGGCCUUGUUGUGGUCGUGUACAAAGAGGAGUGAGCUGCCAAUAACCUGAGCAGGAAAUAAGAGAUUCAGAGAACGGCUGUGAGGACAAAGUCCACAGGACCG